rnacentral:rRNA from 1 species
UGGGGAAUAUUGCGCAAUGGGGGGAACCCUGACGCAGCCAUGCCCGCGUGAAUGAAGAAGGCCUUAGGGUUGUAAAGUUCUUUCGGUAUUGAGGAAGGUUGAUGUGUUAAUAGCACAUCAAAUUGACGUUAAAUACAGAAGAAGCACCGGCUAACUCCGUGCCAGCAGCCGCGGUAAUACGGAGGGUGCGAGCGUUAAUCGGAAUAACUGGGCGUAAAGGGCACGCAGGCGGUUAUUUAAGUGAGGUGUGAAAGCCCCGGGCUUAACCUGGGAAUUGCAUUUCAGACUGGGUAACUAGAGUACUUUAGGGAGGGGUAGAAUUCCACGUGUAGCGGUGAAAUGCGUAGAGAUGUGGAGGAAUACCGAAGGCGAAGGCAGCCCCUUGGGAAUGUACUGACGCUCAUGUGCGAAAGCGUGGGGAGCAAACAGGAUUAGAUACCCUGGUAGUCCACGCUGUAAACGCUGUCGAUUUGGGGGUUGGGGUUUAACUCUGGCGCCCGUAGCUAACGUGAUAAAUCGACCGCCUGGGGAGUACGGCCGCAAGNUA